rnacentral:rRNA from 1 species
GACGAACGCUGGCGGCGUGCUUAACACAUGCCAGUCGUACGGUAAGGCCCUUUCGGGGGUACACGAGUGGCGCACGGGUGAGUAACACGUGAGUAACCUGCCCACAACUUUGGGAUAACGCUAGGAAACUGGUGCUAAUACUGGAUAUGUGCCCCUGCUGCAUGGUGGGGGUUGGAAAGCUCCGGCGGUUGUGGAUGGACUCGCGGCCUAUCAGCUUGUUGGUGGGGUAGUGGCCUACCAAGGCGGCGACGGGUAGCCGGCCUGAGAGGGUGACCGGCCACAUUGGGACUGAGAUACGGCCCAGACUCCUACGGGAGGCAGCAGUGGGGAAUAUUGCACAAUGGGCGCAAGCCUGAUGCAGCAACGCCGCGGGCGGGAUGACGGCCUUCGGGUUGUAAACCGCUUUCAGCAGGGACGAAGCUUUUUGUGACGGUACCUGCAGAAGAAGCACCGGCUAACUACGUG